rnacentral:rRNA from 1 species
UACGUAGGGUGCGAGCGUUAAUCGGAAUUACUGGGCGUAAAGCGUGCGCAGGCGGGCUUUUAAGCCAGACGUGAAAUCCCCGGGCUUAACCUGGGAAUGGCGUUUGGGACUGGGAGUCUGGAGUGCGGCAGAGGAGACUGGAAUUCCUGGUGUAGCAGUGAAAUGCGUAGAUAUCAGGAGGAACACCGAUGGCGAAGGCAGCUCGCUGGGCCGAUACUGACGCUGAGGAGCGAAAGCGUGGGGAGCAAACAGG